CACAAGUCUGGCUCUUCCAUAAACACCGCUUGAUCCUGGGGCUAACAGUGCCUGGUACACACUGGACAGCCAACAAAUACUGUCCUGUGGAGGAACGGAUGUGGACUAGGUUCUAGAAAGGAAAAACAAAAAACAAAAAACGACACGACAACUUAGAGAUGGUCUUCACGGAGCUUGGACUCAAGGGAGGAUGAAACCUGGACAGUUCGUUCUGAAAAGAGUCCCUUCAGAGAGAAGACACCGAAAGCAUAGCAGCGUCAAGGUAGUUUGUGAGCUACAGGAUGGAAAGCAGCUGGUCGUCUUCACUUAAGGACCUUGCCUCCGUGUCUCAAUACCACACUUCUCAUGAGCAAAGCUUCCCAGAGAAGCUGGACAGGAACGCAGGGGUCCUCCUAAUGCUACCUUCUCCAACUCUAAUGAGAAGGAUUUACCUCAACCAGCAGGGAUCCAGAAGUCCACGUUGUUAAGUGCACAGCCCAUGGGGUGGUUGUUCUUAGGAGAGAGGUCUAUUAAUCCUCUCCUACCAGGUCCAACCAUGGUCAUUAUCCAUAGUCUUCUCAAAGAGGACAGUCAGCAGUGAGGUACUACUCAACGGGACAGGAGCCUAGAGAUACUGUUGCUGUUUAGGACAGAUGACAUUUACUUCAGGGGGAACUGAUCACAGUCUAACCAGCCUUGAGUAUAUCUGAGAGACAGAAGGGCCCCAGAGCUCUGCAAAGGGAG
rnacentral:lncRNA from 1 species